UGGAAUCGUUGUUCUUUAUCAUACUUGAAUAUGGUUAUAUUCACUUAUUUCCUUUAUUCCAUGGGAAUGAUAUAUCAUGGUGUAUAAUAACACGACCAUACGGGCCUCGUGCCUCACACGACAUCUGUGAAUUAUAUGAGUAACAAAGUGUGUACAUAACAUGACAACACGAGCUUCAUGCCUCACACGACAUUAAUAAUUUAUUAGGGUGACAAAGGAUGUACAUAACACGACCAGAAGGGCCUUAGGCCUCACACAACAUCAAUGGACCACGAGAACAUGAGAGCGUAAUCUACUUAAAACAUUUUAUCAUCUUAUAACUUUGGAUGUUAUGCUGCAUAUAAGGCUCAUUAGGAGAACAACCAUUUGAAACAGGCCUUACUUAUGUAAUAUUCAACUAGGCAUCUCAAAAGAAUAACUACAAUCAAUUUGAGAAAAUCUGGAAGGCUCAACAACAAUCAAGAACAUGAUAUCUAUGGUAACUCAUCAAUGAUAGGAGCAUAAUCUCUAAAAAGGGUUUGACACAAUAGGAUCAUACUCUUUGUGAAGUCUCGACAAUGAUUGGAGCACAAUAACAUUUGAAAGCUCAUUUUCAUAGAAGAAUAACAUGGAUAUUUCAAUAUGAUACAUACUCUAGGGCCUCACAAAAUCGUAAAUAAGAAACAUAUAAUUCUAAGGCCAUGUCAUAGCAGAAAGAAAGGGAUUUAGCCUUACAUACCUCGAUUCUGAAUUCUUAGAAUAACUACAAAGAAUCAGCCCUUUCAUUAUAAUCUUUAUCUACAUGAAUCGAUAGAGAAGAAAACUAAUAUUAACAAAUUCACAACAACCUUCAGCUAUAUAAGAAAUUCAACAUACAUUCGAAGAGCGGCAAGCUCCGGAGACAAUCAAUUUAAUGGUGUGUCUCCACACCCUUCUGUCUGCCUUAACUACCAUGUCAAUUUUUUUUUACGAGAUUUAAAAUACUUCCUGAGCUUCAUAUCAUACAAAAUAAUCCCAUCUACCAUACACAACUAACAAUAUUUGGACUCAUGACUUUUGAUCACCGCCUCGUGAGUCCUACACGUUGAAUAUAACCAGAAUACUCAUAAGAGCUCAUGGAAGAAGGUAGGGGGAAAACUUUAACAUACCUUAGCUUGUUGGAAAUCUUAGAAACUGAUACACUUUGAAGCUUGCUCGAGAAAAUUUAGAUUCGCUACAAUCAACAAGAAAUCAGUGUUAGAACCACUUACUUUAUCUUGGGAUAACCUUGCUUAAUGAUAAAAAUUAACUUAGCUUCAAGUUCUAGGCUGAAAGGUAAUGUCGUACAUUUGCUAGGGUUCUGUUCUUAGAGGAGAAAAUGAAAAAAAA
rnacentral:lncRNA from 1 species